rnacentral:rRNA from 1 species
ACUUGGAGGAUGUAUAGCGAAAGCUAGUUGCAUUAAAUUCGAUUAAUUCGAAGUUAAUGCAUCAUCGACUAUGUCGAAUAAAGUUCUAGGUAGAGUUAUGAUAAUGACAUUUUCUAUCUAUGUGUCUUGACCAAGUCACGUGCCAGCAGUCGCGGUAAUACGUGGAAGACUAGUGUUAUUCAUCUUUAAUAGGUUUAAAGGGUACUUAGACGGUAAAUUAAGCCCAGAUAAAAACAAAGGGUACUAAUUAUACUAGAGUUGGAUAUGAGGAGGGUGUGUACUAGUGGUGUAGAGAUGAAAUUCAGUCAUACCAUUAUGACAGGCAACGGCGAAAGCAACCUUUAGAUAAAAACUGACGUUAAAGGACGAAGGCUUUGUGUCACCAACAGGAUUAGAUACCCAAGCAGUCUUAGCAGACAAUUAUGAAUGCCAUAGGUAAGAAGAAAAGACAUUUAUUUUUUUUUGCAGAAUUUAUAGCUAAUAUAAAUAAAAAAGAAAUAAAUGUGACAUUUAUUUUUUUUUUGGCAUAAUUUAUAGAUAAUAUAAAUAAAAAAAAGAAAUAGGAUGUCACAUUAUCUACAAAAGAUGAUGUUUUUUUUGUCUAUAAAUGAAAGUGUAAGCAUUCCACCUCAAGAGUAAUGUGGCAACGCAGAAACUGAAAUCAUUAGACCGUUUCUGAAACCAGUAGUGAAGUAUGUUGUUUAAUUAGAUGGUCCGCAAAAAACCUUACCACAAUUUGUAUAUUAUUAGCUUAAUACAAGAGUUGCACGGCUGUUUUUAGUUAAUGUCGUGAGAUUUUGGUUAGUUCCAUUAAAUUAACGUAAACCCUUACUUUAUUUAUAUUAUAAAGUAGUUCACCGCUAGAUUGGAUAUGAUAAGA